GAGAGGAGGUGAGUGACAGCAGCAUUGUGACAUAGCAUUAGGCUACCGCUCACCUCCCAACAAUACAUCACAAGGAGGAACAUCUGGCUCUGGGCCACAGUUCACCAUGGGUAACUGAAACUGCAGAAGAGAAAAGACUCAAGAGUCAAGCUGAAGAAAUUCCUAAUGGCCUAAGAAGGGACAAUUUCAACAUGAAAUAAUAAUACAAAUAAUAAUAAUAUAUGACUCAAAUAUACAAAGUAUUUGAAAAA